rnacentral:rRNA from 1 species
UAGUCCACGCCGUAAACGAUGAUCACUCGAUGUGCAUGAAUCUUCGUGUGUGUCUAAGCGAAAGCGUUAAGUGAUCCACCUGGGGAGUAUACUCGCAAGGGUGAAACUCAAAGGAAUUGACGGGGGUCCGCACAAGCGGUGGAGUAUGUGGUUUAAUUCGAUAAUACGCGAGGAACCUUACCUGGGCUAGAAUGUGUUUUGCUACCUUGAGAAAUUGAGGGUUCCUUCGGGACGGAAUACAAGGUGCUGCAUGGCUGUCGUCAGCUCGUGCCGUGAGGUGUUGGGUUAAGUCCUAUAACGAGCGAAACCCUUUUACUUAAUUGCCAGUAUGUAAUGAUGGGGACUUUAAGUAGACUGCCCGUGUAAGUGGGAGGAAGGAGAGGAUGAGGUCAAGUCAUCAUGGCCUUUAUGUCCAGGGCUACGACACGUACUACAAUGGCAUGUACAAAGGGAAGCUACUUGGUAACAAGAUGCAAAUCUCAAAAGCAUGUCUCAGUUCGGA